CAAGAUCAGUGUGUACUUACAAACACGAUCCAAAACCAAUCAUCCAAGACAACUGCCAAGCGAAGAAGUUCGCACGAAAUUAACGAGCACAGAAGAAACCGAAGUUCUUUUAUCGUGGGCAUCUAAACUUGCGGAAGUGGAAGAGCUGUGGUGUGGAGUUGUAUUAUUAUUUAAGAGUUCACUUUAUUGGAAUGAAACUACUUUUCGCAGCAUAUAGAUCUUUCUGCAUUGUGCCUGACUUGUGAUUGUAAAAUAUACAAAAUAUAAG
rnacentral:misc_RNA from 1 species